rnacentral:rRNA from 1 species
AGCGAACGCUGGCGGCAGGCCUAACACAUGCAAGUCGAACGGAUCCUUCGGGAUUAGUGGCGGACGGGUGAGUAACACGUGGGAACGUGCCCUUUGGUUCGGAACAACUCAGGGAAACUUGAGCUAAUACCGGAUGUGCCCUUCGGGGGAAAGAUUUAUCGCCAUUGGAGCGGCCCGCGUCUGAUUAGCUAGUUGGUGAGGUAACGGCCCACCAAGGCGACGAUCAGUAGCUGGUCUGAGAGGAUGAUCAGCCACACUGGGACUGAGACACGGCCCAGACUCCUACGGGAGGCAGCAGUGGGGAAUCUUGCGCAAUGGGCGAAAGCCUGACGCAGCCAUGCCGCGUGAAUGAUGAAGGUCUUAGGAUUGUAUAAUUCUUUCAGCGGGGACGAUAAUGACGGUACCCGCAGAAGAAGCUCCGGCUAACUUCGUG